rnacentral:misc_RNA from 1 species
UACGGAGGUGGCAAGCGUUACUCGGAAUCAUUGGGUGUAAAGGGCAAGUAGGCGGCCUGUUAAGUGAGGGGUGAAAUCUUCCGACUCAAUCGGGAAACUGCCUUUCAAACUGACGGGCUUGAGGCAAGAAGAGGGAAAUGGAAUUCUCGGUGUAAGGGUGAAAUCUGUAGAUAUCGAGAAGAACACCUGCGGCGAAAGCGAUUUCCUGGUCUUGUCCUGACGCUGAAUUGCGAAAGCUAGGGGAGCAAACAGA